rnacentral:rRNA from 1 species
AACGUAGGACGCAAGCGUUAUCCGGAGUUACUGGGCGUAAAGCGCGGGCAGGCGGUCUUGCCAGUCUGAUGUGAAAUCUCCUCGCUCAACGGGGAGCAGCCAUUGGAAACUACAAGACUGGAGUCUGGCAGAGGUAGGCGGAAUUCCGGGUGGAGUGGUGAAAUGCGUAGAUAUGCGGAGGAACACCGAUGGCGAAGGCAGCCCCCUGGGUCAA